AUUGAACGCUGGCGGCAGGCCUAACACAUGCAAGUCGAGCGAGCGGCGGACGGGUGAGUAAUGUAUGGGGACUGCCCGAUAGAGGGGGAUAACUACUGGAAACGGUGGCUAAUACCGCAUACUGUCGGAUUACCCAGAUGGGAUUAGCUAGUAGGUCAGGUAAUGGCUUACCUAGGCGACGAUCCCUAGCUGGUCUGAGAGGAUGAUCAGGCCCACUGGGACUUGGACCCGGCCCAGACUCCUACGGAGGCAGGAGUGGGGAAUCUUCCGCAAUGGACGAAAGGCUUGCGGAUGAACGCCGCGGGAGUGAUGACGGCCGUCGGGUUGGAAAGCUCUGUUAAUCGGGAGACGGUACCGGAAUAGAAAGCCACGGCUAACUACGUGCCAGCAGCCGCGGUAAUAC
rnacentral:rRNA from 1 species